rnacentral:rRNA from 1 species
UCCGUAGGGUCCGAGCGUUGUCCGGAAUUACUGGGCGUAAAGAGCUCGUAGGUGGUUUGUCGCGUUGUUCGUGAAAACUCACAGCUCAACUGUGGGCGUGCGGGCGAUACGGGCAGACUUGAGUACUGCAGGGGAGACUGGAAUUCCUGGUGUAGCGGUGAAAUGCGCAGAUAUCAGGAGGAACACCGGUGGCGAAGGCGGGUCUCUGGGCCGAUACUGACGCUGAGGAGCGAAAGCGUGGGGAGCGAACAGG